rnacentral:rRNA from 1 species
UACGAAGGUCCCUAGCGUUGUUCGGAAUUAUUGGGCGUAAAGCGCAGGUAGGUGGCUUUUCAAGUCAGGUGUGAAAGCCUGGGGCUUAACCCCAGAAGUGCACUUGAAACUGUUUAGCUUGAGUACGGGAGAGGUGAGUGGAAUUCCUGGUGUAGUGGUGAAAUACGUAGAUAUCAGGAGGAACACCGGUGGCGAAGGCGGCUCACUGGCCCAGUACUGACACUGAGCUGCGAAAGCAUGGGGAUCAAACAGG